rnacentral:tRNA from 1 species
GGGUGAUUAGCUCAGCUGGCUAGAGCGCUGGCCUCACAUGCCAGAGGUCGAGGGUUCAAAUCCCCCAUCACCCA